AUGGCGGUGAUCUGGGACGUGCGACCGGCGAUCGCCGCCGCGUUCUUCGUAGUAUACGUGGCCGUGGAGGGCGUGUACAUGAGCUCGCUGAUGAACAAAGUGGUGCUGGACGGGUGGGUCCCGUUUUCCAUCACCGCCUUCUUCCUCGUGAUCACAGUGUCUUGGACCUACGGCCGGAAGAAGAAGAGCGAGAGGCUUUCGGUCACCUCGGUGCUGCCCGGGGAGCGGUUCCUCGUUGCGGCAGAGGAGGGGGUGCCACCAGGGGUGCACAGGUCCGUGGUGCAGUACGGGUACAUGGACAAGCAGGACAUGGAAGGCGAGGAGUUCUUAGAGUCGGUGCUUGACGCGCUCAAGGAGAUCGCCCGCACGGCCGAGGAGGCCGCCAUGAUGGAUCGAGCUUGCAGGAGCAGGGUGAGCGCCGUGAUCGGGAGGACGAUCCUGACGGCGAGCGGCGGGAAUCAAAGGCACGGCUGGUUCAGGCGAUUCGUCGUCAAUCACAUGUACAGGUUCCUGCAGAAGAACAUCAACUCCGGCGUUUCAAACCUCAAGUUAGAUAAUGACAAGACGAUGUAG
rnacentral:rRNA from 1 species